GGAGGCGGCUGUACUGGCGGCGGCGUCGGCGGUCGCUCAUUCAUCGGCGGUGGCGUCUCAGCCAGCGGCGGCGGCGGCGGAAUUUCCUUGCGCUUGUCCUUCUUCCACUUCUUCUUGCCGGUGUUCACCGGCGGCGGUAGUGAUGGCGGCGGCGAGUCCGGCAUUUUCGCCGGCUUGCCGCCGCCGGCGGCGUCGACGAUGUGGAUGUCCUUGAUGAUCUUGCCUCCCUUGCAUCUGAUCCUGCAGCAAAGCCUCUGAGGAUCGAACGUGCCGGCGAUGACGACGAUGUUGUUCUUGGUGUCGUACGAGAUCGUCGUGAUCCUCUCCUGGUCUGCACAAAAACCAAAUCUAAUAGGGAUUAGUAGACAGUAAUUAAUUAUUUAUGUCUUAAUCAAUGUUUACUACUGUAGUAUUAUUGUACAGAAUUGAGAGGUCCUUCUUACCUUGGAGAUUGCAGAGAAUCUUGCGAAUUUUAUUGUAGCACUUGUGGCAAGCGAGGUCAACCUUAAGGAUUAGCGUGGAGAUCUGUGUUGACAGCAGCAUUAUGUUAGUGAGAGGGUAAAUAUUA
rnacentral:sRNA from 1 species